rnacentral:rRNA from 1 species
CACGUAGGGGGCGAGCGUUGUCCGGAUUUAUUGGGCGUAAAGAGCUCGUAGGCGGCUUUGUCAGUCGGGUGUGAAACCUCCAGGCUCAACCUGGAGCCGCCACCCGAUACUGCAAUAGCUAGAGUCCGGUAGGGGAGCAUGGAACUCCUGGUGUAGCGGUGAAAUGCGUAGAUAUCGGGAGGAACACCAGUGGCGAAGGCGACUACCUGGCCUGUUCUUGACGCUGAGGUGCGAAAGCGUGGGGAGCAAACAGGG